GGGCCUGUAGCCCAGUCUGGUAGAGCGCCUGCCUUGCAAGCAGGAGGUCUCGGGUUCAAAUCCCGACGGGUCCA
rnacentral:tRNA from 1 species